rnacentral:rRNA from 1 species
UACGUAGGGGGCAAGCGUUGUCCGGAUUUAUUGGGCGUAAAGAGCGUGUAGGCGGUCAGGUAGGUCCGUUGUGAAAACUCGAGGCUCAACCUCGAGCUGUCGGUGGAAACCGUAAGGCUAGAGUCCGGAAGAGGAGAGUGGAAUUCCUGGUGUAGCGGUGAAAUGCGCAGAUAUCAGGAAGAACACCCGUGGCGAAGGCGGCUCUCUGGGACGGUACUGACGCUGAGACGCGAAAGCGUGGGGAGCGAACAGG